ACUGUGGAAGUAGAUGUUUUUGAGUUUCUUCUUUACCCUAGGUAUGAGAUUAGAAGGUUGAGGGUUUGGGAUGUCAAGUGAUCGCUCUCUUCUGGGAGUUAGUCGCGAGGAUCAUGUUUGUCCUCGGUAGCAACUUGAACUGUUGGAACCGGUUACUCUGGCCAAAGGGCUCAUUGUCAAAAACUUGCCUCAAAGUGGCUUCUAUUGUAACCACCAGAGUUUGCAUAUGAGUGACCCGUGGUUUCAC